GACGAACGCUGGCGGCGUGCUUAACACAUGCAAGUCGAACGGAAAGGCCCUGCUUUUGUGGGGUGCUCGAGUGGCGAACGGGUGAGUAACACGUGAGUAACCUGCCCUUGACUUUGGGAUAACUUCAGGAAACUGGGGCUAAUACCGGAUAGGAGCUCCUGCUGCAUGGUGGGGGUUGGAAAGUUUCGGCGGUUGGGGAUGGACUCGCGGCUUAUCAGCUUGUUGGUGGGGUAGUGGCUUACCAAGGCUUUGACGGGUAGCCGGCCUGAGAGGGUGACCGGCCACAUUGGGACUGAGAUACGGCCCAGACUCCUACGGGAGGCAGCAGUGGGGAAUAUUGCACAAUGGGCGGACGCCUGAUGCAGAAACGCCGCGUGCGGGAUGACGGCCUUCGGGUUGUAAACCGCUUUCGCCUGUGACGAAGCGUGAGUGACGGUAAUGGGUAAAGAAGCACCGGCUAACUACGUG
rnacentral:rRNA from 1 species